GUCGAAACCGGUGGCUCUGCUGACACUGUAUUGUGACGUAUAGAGGUGAUCAUGUGCGGUUUAGGGCUUUACGAAUUCUCUUUGACUAGAGAUCCAAAGCGGGUGCGAGACCCGUACGUAUUGCCUGUUUGUCGUACGCGGUUGCUUCUUGGAGUAGGGUUGUUUGAGAUCGCAGCCCAAAGCAGGUGGUAUACUUCAUCUAAAGCUAAAUACGACUACGAAUCCGAUAGCAAACAAGUACCGUGAGGGAAAGUUGCAAAGUACUUUGAAGAGAGAGUUCAAGAGGACGUGAAACCGAUAGGAUGGAAGCAGAUGAAGUUGACGAACGAGUGUCGUAUUCAGGGUUGCAUCUUGUGUGCAGUCUGUUCUUGCGGCCGAUGUGGGCCGGCGGCUUUGGUCAAUGCACUGUGUCAAGCGUCGAUGGUGACCCUGCGGAGGGAUAAUCGGUCGGCGUGCGAUGCGUGGUAUGGCUAGGGUGCGCCGGUCUUGAAGUCAGCGCCUCAUCUGACCCGUCUUGAAACACGGACCAAGGAGUGUAUCGUUUACGCAAGUCUUAGAGUGUAUCAAAACUUUGAGGCGCAACGAAAGUGAAUGUAGCUCGAUCUACUGACUUGUCGAUGCCGUUGUCUCCUGUGGACAGCGCUGGACCAUAGUUAUAUCGCGAUCGCUUGCGAUGCGGUGUAAACA
rnacentral:rRNA from 1 species